rnacentral:rRNA from 1 species
UUAGAUGAAAUCAAACUAUCUUACUAAGAUAAACCUUAGAAACAAGGAUCGACAAUUAAAUUUAAAAUUACUAUUGUCUUUAUCUUUUCCUAAUCACUACUUUUUUUUUUGUAGUAAGUAGCAAUAAUCUAGGCGGGAUCCUAAUAUGUGCACCCGUUACAAAAGCUAUUAUCAUGAAGAUAACACAAUACAUGCAUAGGUAUCAAUUCAGAACAACAAUAGCACUUCCCCUACUUCGUCAAUCCACUAGAGUUUCCAGAACCCUACCUAUGGGUUUUAGCCGCUCAUGUUUGUGAAGAAAUCAGUAACAUUCAUAGAUGAGAGCCUAGAUGAAAUCAUAAUGAUGAGAAGUGUAAGAACCCAUAACUAUAACUGAAUUAAUCAACUGAAGUCAAUACAAGAGAAUCCCAAGAUCAAAAUCAAAUCUUGGAAUCAAAAUAUGUUUAUGAAUAUCUAAAGUGCAUAACUCCUACUAAAAACACACAUAAAAGGUAUUUAUAGUACAAGAGGAAACCUUAAAACCAAAGUCCGAAUAAAAUAGGAGAAAACUGGGUCGGUGGCUAUAGUGGUCUGUACAUGCACCCUAGCCUUGGGCGCAGGUAGUACCUGCAGCCCUGUACAGGGCGCAUGUUGCAUAUGGAAAAAUCCCACUAGUCAGCUUCUAGGGAUUUUGGACUUCUGGCACUUGCUUUGCCUACCUGCGUUCUGUAGGUCCUACAUACGGUCCAUAUGUUGACUUAGUAAGCAUUAGGAGUCAUCUUUUUAGAUCUUCUCCAAUUCCCUAACAUGAUUUGAUCAUUAACAAGCCAGAAAGUAUCUCGAAAAUCCAUAAUUGCUCUAAAAAAUAGCCAAAACACCAUUUUUCUUUUUUUUUUUCAUGAGCUUAUUAUCCAAAACAUGAUUUUCUUCAAAAUAUACCCAAAACUCAUCAUAUCUAACAAAAUAACCUUAGAAACUUGCAUAUUUUUCCCGUUUUAAGCAUUAAAAGUAAAAUAUUUCUAUAGCACAUCAUGUGCUUAAGUACGCGACCUACACCCUUUCAUCGGGGAAAGUACCAGGACUCGAUGAGUAGAAGGGCACGACGGUCGGUGCAAAACCUUAGGCGUGAGCUCGGGCGGAGUGAUCAUCGAUGCAUAUCUUAAUGGUAGUAGCAACUAUUCAAAUGAGAACUUUGAAGGCCGAAGAGGGGAGAUGUUCCAUCUAAACGACACUUGCACAUGGCUUAGUUGAUCCUAAGGAUCAGGGAACCCCGACAGAUAGCAUAUUUCGCGUGUACUCCGAACGAGAAUUAAUUCAAAAUUCUUGAAUCAGGAUGUGGCGGUUGAUGACAAUGUUAGGAAGUACAGAGACGUCGGUGGGAGCCUUGAGAAGAGUUAUCUUUUCUGUUUUACAAUCGGUCUACCCUAGAAUCGACUUAGUCAGAGGUAGGGUCCAGCAGUUGAAAGAGCACCACACAUUGUAUGGUGUUUGGUGCACUCCCGAUGGCCCUUAAAAAUCUAGAGAAUCAAGUAUCAUCCAAUGUCGAUCAUACUCAUAAAUGCAUUAGGUCUCUAAGGUAAAUAACCUUUGGUCGGUGGAACAAUAUGGGUAAGGAAAGUUGGCAAAAUAGAUCCAUAACUUUGGAAAAAAAGAUCAGCUCUGAGGGCUGGGCACAGGGGUCCUAGUCCCAAACCCAUUGGCUAUCAAUGGACUGCUUAAGCUUCUCCCAUAAAUAGAGUGGUUCAUCGCGUGCCGGCUCGGGGAUGAUCUGGGAAUGAUUCCUUCGGGUUCCCUGCGUGUCAAACAACAAACUUAGAAAUUGUACGGACAAGGAGAAUCCAACUAUUUAAUUAAAAAAAGCAUUACGAUAGUCCCAAUGAAUGUUCACGUAAUAUGAUUUCUGCCUAGUGCUCUGAAUGUCAAAGUGAAAAAAUUCAACCAAGUGCAAGUAAACGAUAGGAGUAGCUAUGACUCUCUUAAGGUAGCCAAAUGCCUCUUCAUCUAAUUAUUGACGCACAUGAAUGGAUUAAACAGAUUCCCACUAUCCCUGUCUACUAUCCAACGAAACUACAACCAAGUGAACGGGCUUGGUAGAAUCAGCGGGGAAAGAAGACUAGUCUCUAACUUUGGGAAAUGACUUGAUAAGUGUAGUAUAAGUUGGAGACGAAAGGCGAAAGUGAAAUACCAUGAAUUUAAAUGUUAUUUUACUUAUUUUGUGAACUGAAAGUGGCGCAUUGCUCUUUUUGGACCCAUAACUCGCUCCACGGUCCGAUCUAGGCAAAAACAUUGUCAGAUGGGGAGUUUGGAUGGGGCGGAACUUCUGUUAAAGAUAACGCAAGUGUCUUAAGAUGAUCUCAAUGAGAACUAAAAUAUUAUAUGGAACAAAAGGGUAAAAGCUCAUUUGAUUCUAAUGUCUAGUAUAAAUAUGAACCGUGAAAGCAUGUUCUAACAAUCCUUUAGACCUUUAGAAUUUGAAGUUAGAGGUGUCAGAAAAGUUACCAUAGGGAUAACUGGUUUGUGGUAGCCAAGAGUUCAUAGCGAUUUUACUUUUUGAUCCUUUGAUGUCAGCUCUUCCUAUUAUUAUGAAGCAAAAUUCACCAAGUAUUGGAUUGUUCACCUACCAAUAGGGAAUGUGAGAUGAAUUUAGAUUGUCGUGAGACAGGUUAGUUUUACCCAAUCGAUGACAGUGUCACAAUAGUAAUUCAACCUAGUAUGAGAGGAACCAUUGAUUUACACAAUUAGUCAUCACGCUUGGUUAGCACGAAACUACCAUUUGCUGGAUUAUGAUUAAAUACCUCUAAGUCAGAAUUAGGGAUAAAAGCAAUGCAUGCACCUUCUGUCCGCUUACCAACUCGCAAUAGGUACCUCAGAACCCAAGGACAUGUGUUAUUGGCUAAGCCAUCACGGCGGAAGGGUCGCGGUGGCCAUAUUAAAGUACAAUCUUGAAACACCCUGGGUUCUGGUCCUUAGAAAAUUUCUCAAUUUUGUGCUUCUAGACAUCAAAUGACUUGGGUACUUAUCG